rnacentral:tRNA from 2 species
CGGAUGUAGCCAAGUGGAUCAAGGCAU